GACGAACGCUGGCGGCGUGCUUAACACAUGCAAGUCGAACGCUGAGGCUCAGCUUUUGUUGGGUGGAUGAGUGGCGAACGGGUGAGUAACACGUGAGUAACCUGCCCCCUUCUUUGGGAUAACGCCCGGAAACGGGUGCUAAUACUGGAUAUUCACUGGUCUUCGCAUGGGGGUUGGUGGAAAGGGUUUUUCUGGUGGGGGAUGGGCUCGCGGCCUAUCAGCUUGUUGGUGGGGUGAUGGCCUACCAAGGCUUUGACGGGUAGCCGGCCUGAGAGGGUGACCGGGCACAUUGGGACUGAGAUACGGCCCAGACUCCUACGGGAGGCAGCAGUGGGGAAUAUUGCACAAUGGGCGCAAGCCUGAUGCAGCGACGCCGCGUGAGGGAUGGAGGCCUUCGGGUUGUGAACCUCUUUCGCUCAUGGUCAAGCCGCAACAAUGGUUGUGGUGAGGGUAGUGGGUAAAGAAGCGCCGGCUAACUACGUG
rnacentral:rRNA from 1 species